rnacentral:rRNA from 1 species
GAUGAACGCUGGCGGCGUGCCUAAUACAUGCAAGUCGAGCGAACAGAUAAGGAGCUUGCUCCUUUGACGUUAGCGGCGGACGGGUGAGUAACACGUGGGUAACCUACCUAUAAGACUGGGAUAACUUCGGGAAACCGGAGCUAAUACCGGAUAACAUUUGGAACCGCAUGGUUCUAAAGUGAAAGAUGGUUUUGCUAUCACUUAUAGAUGGACCCGCGCCGUAUUAGCUAGUUGGUAAGGUAACGGCUUACCAAGGCGACGAUACGUAGCCGACCUGAGAGGGUGAUCGGCCACACUGGAACUGAGACACGGUCCAGACUCCUACGGGAGGCAGCAGUAGGGAAUCUUCCGCAAUGGGCGAAAGCCUGACGGAGCAACGCCGCGUGAGUGAUGAAGGGUUUCGGCUCGUAAAACUCUGUUAUUAGGGAAGAACAAAUGUGUAAGUAACUGUGCACGUCUUGACGGUACCUAAUCAGGAAGCCACGGCUAACUACGUG